CAACCUCUGCUUGGGGGAGGAGGGACCUCUGCUUUGCCAGGUGCUUUGAGGAGAGGCAUUGUCCCCUGGACAGGGAUG
ensembl:miRNA gga-mir-1773 gga-mir-1773